rnacentral:lncRNA from 1 species
UUUGAAUAAUAAGCCGAAUGCUUAAAAAUCCAUAAUUUUAUUAGUUCGAAUGUCGGAUUUAAACUCCAUGCGAUGGAGAAUCAAAUUUCGAGCGUAUAGGAAAAAGAAUCAGGUUUCAGCAACAAAACUGCUGGAAAAUCAUCUCCCCCGCAGCACGCGAUAGGGAGCAGUAAUCCUGGCACGACACGUGAGGGUGCUGGCGGCACGCGAAAGAUCA